ACGUAGGGGGCAAGCGUUACUCGGAUUUAUUGGGCGUAAAGAGAAUUAAGGCGGUCAUGUAAGUCAGUGGUGAAAUCCCUCGGCUCAACUGAGGAAUUGCCUCUGAUACUGCGUGACUUGAGGACAGGAGAGGAAGGCGGAAUUCCCGGUGUAGCGGUGGAAUGCGUAGAUAUCGGGAGGAACACCUGAGGCGAAGGCGGCUUUCUGGACUGGUCCUGACGCUGAUAUUCGAAAGCUAGGGGAGCAAACAGGAUUAGAUACCCUGGUAGUCCUAGCUGUAAACGAUGGAUACUAGAUCUUGCAUGAUUUUGCUUGGUCGAAGCUAACGCGUUAAGUAUCCCGCCUGGGGAGUACGGUCGCAAGGCUG
rnacentral:rRNA from 1 species